rnacentral:lncRNA from 1 species
AUUAGUUUGGUUAAAUUGCUGUUUUUCUGGACUACUGCAGUAUUGAAGCUGAAAUUUGAGUUUCGUGGAUUUUCAUGAUGCAAUUUUUGGAGGAAGCUGGAUUUUGGACCUGAGAGUGAUUCACCAUCUUAGUACACAGGUUUUGGAACCUUGCUUCACCAUAUUUGAAGAUCGAAAAGUGAAAUUGACAUUGAGAUUGAAGGAAUUUGAGCUUAGGGGCUGAAUUUUAGUAUAUUAAUAGAAUUAUUGGUAUUGUUGUUUUAGUUCUUGGA